UACGGGGGGGGUAAGCGUUGUUCGGAAUUACUGGGCGUAAAGGGCUCGUAGGCGGCCAACUAAGUCAGACGUGAAAUCCCUCAGCUUAACUGGGGAACUGCGUCUGAUACUGGAUGGCUUGGAUCCAGAAGAGGGAUGCGGAAUUCCAGGUGUAGCGGUGAAAUGCGUAGAUAUCUGGAGGAACACCGGUGGCGAAGGCGGCAUCCUGGGCCGGUAUUGACGCUGAGGAGCGAAAGCCAGGGGAGCAAACGGG
rnacentral:rRNA from 1 species